rnacentral:rRNA from 1 species
UCCAGACUCCUACGGGAGGCAGCAGUGAGGAAUAUUGGUCAAUGGGCGAGAGCCUGAACCAGCCAAGUCGCGUGAGGGAGUACUGCCCUAUGGGUUGUAAACCUCUUUUGUCGGGGAGCAAAAGCCGGACGUGUCCGGCUGUGAGAGUACCCGAAGAAAAAGCAUCGGCUAACUCCGUGCCAGCAGCCGCGGUAAUACGGAGGAUGCGAGCGUUAUCCGGAUUUAUUGGGUUUAAAGGGUGCGUAGGCGGAAGGUUAAGUCAGCGGUAAAAUGUCGGUGCUCAACACCGGCCUGCCGUUGAAACUGGUCUUCUUGAGUGAGCGAGAAGUAUGCGGAAUGCGUGGUGUAGCGGUGAAAUGCAUAGAUAUCACGCAGAACUCCGAUUGCGAAGGCAGCAUACCGGCGCCCAACUGACGCUGAAGCACGAAAGCGUGGGUAUCGAACAGGAUUAGAUACCCUGGUAA